GAUGAACGCUGGCGGCGUGCUUAACACAUGCAAGUCGAACGAAGCACUUUAUUUGAUUUCCUUCGGGACUGAUUAUUUUGUGACUGAGUGGCGGACGGGUGAGUAACGCGUGGGUAACCUGCCUUGUACAGGGGGAUAACAGUUGGAAACGGCUGCUGAUACCGCAUAAGCGCACAGCAUCGCAUGAUGCAGUGUGAAAAACUCCGGUGGUAUAAGAUGGACCCGCGUUGGAUUAGCUAGUUGGUGAGGUAACGGCCCACCAAGGCGACGAUCCAUAGCCGACCUGAGAGGGUGACCGGCCACAUUGGGACUGAGACACGGCCCAAACUCCUACGGGAGGCAGCAGUGGGGAAUAUUGCACAAUGGGCGAAAGCCUGAUGCAGCGACGCCGCGUGAGCGAAGAAGUAUUUCGGUAUGUAAAGCUCUAUCAGCAGGGAAGAUAAUGACGGUACCUGACUAAGAAGCACCGGCUAAAUACGUG
rnacentral:rRNA from 1 species